AUAUGAAGGAGGCUAGAAUAGCUUGAAAGAAAUCAAAUCUAGUUAUACACAUCUUUGGCAUUAAUCUGAUGUUUACUAGUGAUCUCUUGCACUGAACAGUUAAGCUUUGCUUCUAGAGGCUUUUCUUUUUAAAACAAAAGAAAGCUCUUUUCAUUUUCUCUGUGCUGCAUGCUCUAGUGUAUGUGUUUACACCAUCGGUUCUUCUACCUCUAGA
rnacentral:lncRNA from 1 species